UACGGAGGGUGCGAGCGUUAAUCGGAAUUACUGGGCGUAAAGCGUGCGUAGGCGGUUUGAUAAGUCGGGUGUGAAAGCCCCGGGCUUAACCUGGGAAUUGCAUUCGAUACUGUCUGACUCGAGUCUGGGAGAGGGAAGCGGAAUUCCGGGUGUAGCGGUGAAAUGCGUAGAUAUCAGGAGGAACACCAAUGGCGAAGGCAGCUCGCUGGGACGGUACUGACACUGAGACGCGAAAGCGUGGGGAGCAAACAGG
rnacentral:rRNA from 1 species